UACGUAGGCAGCAAGCGUUGUUCGGAAUUACUGGGCGUAAAGAGUGUGUAGGCGGUGUUCUAAGUCUGUUGUGAAAUCUCCCGGCUUAACUGGGAGGGUGCGGCGGAAACUGGAAUGCUAGAGGAUGGGAGAGGUAAGCGGAAUUCCUGGUGUAGCGGUGAAAUGCGUAGAUAUCAGGAGGAACACCCGUGGCGAAGGCGGCCAUCUGGACCAGCACUGACGCUGAGGCACGAAAGCGUGGGGAGCAAACAGG
rnacentral:rRNA from 1 species